UACAGAGGUCCCAAGCGUUGUUCGGAUUCACUGGGCGUAAAGGGUGCGUAGGCGGUUGCGCAAGUCUGAUGUGAAAUCUCCGGGCUCAACCCGGAAAUGGCAUUGGAAACUGCGUGGCUAGAGGGUUGGAGGGGGACUGGAAUACUUGGUGUAGCAGUGAAAUGCGUAGAUAUCAAGUGGAACACCAGUGGCGAAGGCGAGUCCCUGGACAACACCUGACACUGAGGCACGAAAGCUAGGGGAGCAAACAGG
rnacentral:rRNA from 1 species